GCUGAGCUGGCCGGGGGUUGCUACACACCAGGGGUCGGUACAAUACACACUAGCAGGGGGAAGGGGGGAUGGGGGUUCUUCCCGAAUACUUGCUUUCACCUGCCGGACCGGAGUGCAGCGCGCUUGCAGACCGGAGCGGCUCGUGUUGGUUUGGCUCGAGCCAGCGACCAGGUGACCCGGUUGCCCACGCGCCGCCGUUUUAACCUCGGCGUCAUCGAAUCGUUAACGGGCGUGCGCCGUUGGACGUGUGUGGAGAAGACCUGCUGAACGUGUGAGGAGGACCUCCGUGGAGACUUGAGGACCGCGAGGAGGACCUCCGUGGACACCUGAGGACAUCCGUGGACACCUGGGGACCAUGAAGACUGUUAGCCGCCGUGUCCCGUGGAGGGUGACGACCAGUGGGUGUUAUAGCCCUGCUGGCUGUCCCACUACGUCUAUCUGCACCGCAGAGUUUAACGCUUCCUUGCCCUCGGUCGGGGUCCUGGACGAGGUCCUGGUCGGGGUCUUGGUCGUGGUUCUGGUCGUGGUCUUGGUCGGGGUCCUGGUCCUGGUCCUGGUCGGGGUCCUGGUCGUGGUCCUGGUCGAGGUUCUGGUCGUGGUCCUGGUCGUGGUCUUGGUCGGGGUCCUGGUCAGGGUCCUGGUCGAGGUUCUGGUCGAAGUUCUGGUCGGGGUCCUGGUCGAGGUUCUGGUCGGGGUCCUGGUCGUGGUCCUGGUCGGGGUCCUGGUUGGGGUCCUGGUCGAGGUUCUGGUCAGGGUCCUGGUCGAGGUUCUGGUCAGGGUCUUGGUCGA
ensembl:lncRNA